UACAGAGGGGGCAAGCGUUGUUCGGAAUUACUGGGCGUAAAGGGCGCGUAGGCGGCCUUCUAAGUCGAACGUGAAAUCCCCGGGCUCAACCCGGGAACUGCGUCCGAUACUGGAAGGCUUGAAUCCGGGAGAGGGAUGCGGAAUUCCAGGUGUAGCGGUGAAAUGCGUUAGAUAUCUGGAGGAACACCGGUGGCGAAGGCGGCAUACUGGACCACUUCUGACGCUGAGGCGCGAAAGCCAGG
rnacentral:rRNA from 1 species